UCGUUACGUUGUUGAUAUCUUAAUUGAUAAUUGGGGUUCUAAUUACAAAUAGAAGGCUGGCAAAUAUCGAUGAUAUUUUCCACCACCUCGACUGAAAUCAGUCUAACUAUAAAAUAAUGUCGCAAUCAGAGGAGAACGCCAUCCAACUGUAGUUUAUGUCCACAGAUAACACCGAGGUGCUUUCAAAUGUUGCUUUGGGGAGGAACAUUGGGUUGAAAAAUCUAAUGAAGAGAACCGCAGUCGAGAUCUUCGUCGCAAAGAAAUAUCGCACGUCUUUCUUCCAAUUUUGAAGUUAAUGAAGCUCACUGGUGAAUGCUAUGGGGACCUUUCUUUCGAAUAAUUUUCGCAUCGAAGAAGCCUCUUUUGUCGUCUCUACUGUAUGAUGGUGGUACUCGGGCAAUGGUUCGUUGCAAUACAGGUUCUCACAAGUCUUUUUUGUGAGGGUUUUGGAAAACUUCCAACAUUUUACUUUUUGUUGACUUUCAGCAUUUUGGUGUGCAAAGUCUGCUGUAGUGUCAACAAUAUGCCUUUUCGUUUUUCCCAAAAGGAUAGAAAAGCCUUCUCGCCUUGAAAAACUUGUGAAUGACUUAGUCUCACCAUCAUCUUAUUUGAGUGGAGUCAAUACGCGUAAACUUAGAUUCGCUCUAAUUUUUGUGGGCAUCUUUUGCACAUGCAACUCUAUUUGCCUCGCACUUCUUGAAUUUUAUGGACAUAGCUCAGUGGCCCGUUUUUGUCCAUGGAAUGGGCUUCUUGUAUAUCGCACGAUCCAUCUGGUUUUUGGAGCAUAUAAUUGCUUUUCGUGGCUAUUACCGUUGGUAUUGUUCUUUGCCUCAUGCGAAGUACUGAUCACAAUGUCUGUACAUUUAGAAAGAAAAAUAUCAGAAGAGAGCAGCAAAGGAUUAAGCAUGAAGUCAUUGAGACAGGAACAUCUUAAACUCUGUGAAACAGUAGCUCUUGCAGACAAAGUAUUUUCCCCAAUUCUUCUGUUUGUAGUUUCCCUGGAUGUUCCUUUGAUAUGCAUUAAUGUUCAUCAGGGAGUACGACUGUCAUCUUUUAGUAAAAGCGACAUCACAUUUGUAAUAAGCGUUUCGUAUUAGUGUAUUUUAUUAGCUGGAAAGCUAGUAUUUAUCUUGAUCUGUGGAAUCAGAGUCAACGAGAAGGUGAGAAUCUCCAUUGCUGUUUCCAAUUGUGUGCUUUUGUGAUACCCAUGUGUGUGAGCCUUUGAAAAGGGAAGUCACUAUAUUACAAUAUACCUGUCACAUUUUUGCAUACAUAGAGGCCAAGUUUUUCAGUCCAUUUCUCCUUUCUAUGUACACAUGUUUUUAGCAAUUAUUCCCGAGUCAACGUACUGUUCGGGUGGUUUUUGGGUGGUGUUGGAGCUGUAUAUCCUCUUAAUAGUAAGCAGAUAUCAAACCCUUCCUCUUUAAAAUGAGACAAUUAUUUCAAAAUUCUGUGUUUUUCUUUCUCUGUAGAUUCAUAACUUUUAUAACAUCUUACAAUAUGUCAAUGUCCCGGAUACCAAAGAGCAUUUGGAGCUGCUGGGCAUAAUCAUAUCUUAUAUUGCUGUUUUGCUCACCCUGCCGAGUUAGACGAAUGGUAACGUUAGAGAGUAUAGAACAGCCACCGUCCAUAGCAUGGAUAUUGACGAAACGUGGGGUCGAAAUGGAGUUUCCUAAUGCAUUAUGGAUGAUAAAAAGGAUCGAAGCUUCUUUGCUUGUGACGCAUUUGCUGUUUUUGAUGAUUUUAAUAUAUAUGCAAUUUUAUUUGCCCGUGUAAGAAAAAAUGUCAUCAUAAAUUCAUUUCACUGGACAACUCUAAAAGGAGAUGUCUAUUUCAUUGAAAUUAUUGAAAUAAAUAGAUAUGUAAAGGAGAAUUUUCCGGAUUUUUGGUAUAAGCAAUUUUUUUUUAUAAAAAUAUUUAAAUCAGGUUAGAAUUGUUUGUUUCCCUCUUCUUUAUUUUCCAUUUGGAAAAUUUUUCUUCGUCUUCAAAUUCAAGUAAAUAAAAAGAUGCUAACAUGAGAACCUGGUAUAAGUAGUGAUGGCAUGGUUAAUUUUCGGUUCAAAAGCAUUCCUGUUAAAUUUUUCUCCUUCUUUUCCUAUAAAACAUUGAUUAUUGCCAAACUAUUUGCAAAGGUAAUCAGUUGAAGUAACCAAUCCUAUCUUCGACAAACAUCCUCUAAAUUCUAUCUAUUCCCUUUUCCAGUUCAUUAUCAUUCAUAUUUCCUGAUGUAUUAUAUAUAUCUUUCCAGUGUUUCGGUCAUUUGGACCUUUGUAAUGUAAACAUGGGGACUUAAAUUAAUUAACUUUAUCAUUCUGGCGAAUUUAAGUUGCCAUAUUUUCAUUUCAUGAUCGUUAUUCCGACUAGUUCCAUAGACUCCUCUUGCUGGAUUGAUAGCAAAUUCAAUAAAGAGAAAAAAAGAAGGUAGGGGCCGGGUAUAACCUUGAAAUUUAGGUAACAUCUAUUACAGAUCAAUCGUGGCAUUUAACAAUAUAAAAGUUAACAGAUGAUUAAAAAUAUGAUAUAUUACUUUUUUCAUUUAGAUUUGUUUCAUAAUGAGAUGUGACAAAUUUACUUCAUAAAAGCCUUCCUGGAGAAGUUGUUGAAAAGCGACAAUUCAAGAGAGAGGGACACAAUUUUCUUCUUUACUUUCUUAUAUUGGUGGAUGGGCCUGUCGUCGCAGAUAGCAGUCAUCUUCAUGUUUGGAAUUAGAGUUCAUGAGAAGAUCCAUGGUAUUUAUGACGCCUUACAGCAGAUUGUCGUCGCUGAUUGUAAAGAACACUUGGAGUUGCUUCAUUUCUUGAUGCAUCUUCGUGGAGAGCCAAUCGGGAUGUCCGUGGGAGGACUGGUGGUGAUAAACAAAUCACUUCUUCUUUCGGUGGUUGGGAUAAUCAUCUCAUAUCUUGCAGUACUGUUAACAUUACCGGCAUAAAUGGCUUUCCUUGACGAUGCUGUGACAGUGUAGUGUGGGUUUUUUGGUUGCUAUGGGAAACAAGCCAAUGCGAAUGAAAUAGGCGGGGCGUUUUGAUCAUUUUAACAUUUACAUGACUCGCGAUUAUUGUAAAUCAUCAAGGAAGAUGAUUUAACUGGAUUGAAAAAUUAGCUAAGGUAAUGUAUUAAGUAAUCACGUUAUCAAGAUAAUUUGUUUCGUCCUCUUAUGCUCCAAUGACGAAAAAGUUAUGAAGGAUUUCCCAGUCUACUAACAGGAGCGAUUCUCAAGUGUCAGAAGUUUUGCAGAAUUGCUUUAUUUCUGCUCUUAUUAGACCUGUCUUUGUUAAGAAAACACGCAUCAUCCUCUCGACCAAUCAAGUGAUAAAUGAACUAUUAUCGUGACCUUGUUACUUGCGUCCUCAUUAACUAAUGAUGAUGUUAAUCAUUGUUAUGCAGUUUGGUUGCUACGAUUCUGGCUUUAUGACAGCUAAUUAGAAGUUGCUUAAGAUGGGCGAAUUUCUUUGAAUUUACAACUGUUACGUUUUCCUUUCGGCUAAGAAAUUCAAAAACUGAACUGUGCGUUCUUAAAAGUAGUAAAGUACCACGACGCUUCAGAAGAAUUUGUAUAGAAUAGUUAAGAGUAUUUCACUCAUUACCUCUCGUGUUUAGAAUGCAAAUGUAACCUUACUAUUUAGAAACUGAUAAAAAUAAACAUAAUAAUAAUAAUGAUGAUGAUAUCAAUCAUUUUAUUUAUAAAAAUUAGUGUCACUGUAUUCAUAAUAAUGAAUUACUUAACCAAUAUUAUUAGCGAAUAGUGAUUAAUGCAGA